AUCCAGCUGACGAGUCCCAAAUAGAACGAAACGCGCAUCCUGGAU
rfam:Schistosoma rodhaini strain Burundi genome assembly, scaffold: SROB_scaffold0002780